rnacentral:rRNA from 1 species
AUUGAACGCUGGCGGCAGGCUUAACACAUGCAAGUCGAGCGGAGAUGAGGUGCUUGCACCUUAUCUUAGCGGCGGACGGGUGAGUAAUGCUUAGGAAUCUGCCUAUUAGUGGGGGACAACAUUCCGAAAGGAAUGCUAAUACCGCAUACGCCCUACGGGGGAAAGCAGGGGAUCUUCGGACCUUGCGCUAAUAGAUGAGCCUAAGUCGGAUUAGCUAGUUGGUGGGGUAAAGGCCUACCAAGGCGACGAUCUGUAGCGGGUCUGAGAGGAUGAUCCGCCACACUGGGACUGAGACACGGCCCAGACUCCUACGGGAGGCAGCAGUGGGGAAUAUUGGACAAUGGGCGGAAGCCUGAUCCAGCCAUGCCGCGUGUGUGAGGAAGGCCUUCGGGUUGUAAAGCACUUUCAGUUGGGAGGAAGCGUUGUGUGUUAAUAGUACACAGCGUUGACGUUACCAACAGAAGAAGCACCGGCUAACUCUGUGCCAGCCGCCGCCGUAACAC